rnacentral:rRNA from 1 species
CAAGGCUUCUCUGAGGCGGCGGAGUGGUGAAUAUGCCUAGGAAUCUGCCUGGCAUGGGGGAUAGCGUCCGGAAACGGACGCUAAUACCGCAUACGUCCUACGGGAGAAAGCAUGGGACCUUCGGGCCUUGCGCUAUCGCAUGAACCUAUGUCGGAUUAUCUAAUUGGUGGGGUAAUGGCUCACCAAGGCGACGAUCCGUAACUGGUCUGAUAGGAUGAUCGGUCACUCUGGAACUGAGACACGGUCCAGACUCCUACAGGAGGCAGCAAUGGGGAAUAUUGGACAAUGGGCGAAAGCCUGAUCCACCCAUGCCGCGUGUGUGAAGAAGGUCUUCAGAUUGUCAAGCACUUUAACUUGGGAGGAAGGGCAGUAAAUUAAUACUUUGCUGUUUUGACGUUACCAACAGAAUAAGCACCGGCUAACUCUGUGCCAUCAUCCGCGGUAAUACAGAGGGUGCAAGCGUUAAUCCGAAUUACUGGGCGUAAAGCGCGCGUACGUGGUUCGUUAAGUUGGAUGUGAAAUCCCCGGGCUCAACCUGGGAACUGCAUUCAAAACUGACAAGCUAGAGUAUGGUAGAGGGUGGUGGAAUUUCCUGUGUAGCGGUGAAAUGCGUAGAUGUAGGAAGGAACACCAGUGGCGAAAGGCGACCACGUGGACUGAUGCUGACACUGAGGUGCUGAAAGCGUGAGGAGCAAACAGGAUUACAUGACUCUGAUAGUCCACGACGUCCAAAGCGAUGUCAACCUAGCCCGAUCUGGGAUGCCUUUGGAUGCUCAUUAGUGACCGCAGCUAAACGCAGUCUAAAGUUCGAUCGCUGGGGCGAGCUACGGUCAGCUACGGAUCAGACAACGUACAUAGAUGAACUCUGACGGGAGUGCACGCGACGAGCCGCUACGAAGCCAUGUGAUUUAGUUGCGAUGGCAAUUCGCGAUAGACUACGCUUCAGCAGCCUUUAUGCGGACGAUUC